GGAGAGAUGGCCGAGCGGCUGAAGGCGACGGUUUGCUAAACCGUUAUACGGAGUCAAAUCCGUAUCCGGGGUUCGAAUCCCCGUCUCUCCG
rnacentral:tRNA from 1 species